rnacentral:rRNA from 1 species
UACGUAGGGUGCAAGCGUUUGUCCGGAAUUAUUUGGGCGUAAAGAGCUCGUAGGCGGUCUGUCGCGUCGGCUGUGAAAACCCGGGGCUCAACCCCGGGCCUGCAGUCGAUACGGGCAGACUAGAGUGCGGUAGGGGAGACUGGAAUUCCUGGUGUAGCGGUGAAAUGCGCAGAUAUCAGGAGGAACACCGGUGGCGAAGGCGGGUCUCUGGGCCGUAACUGACGCUGAGGAGCGAAAGCGUGGGGAGCGAACAGG